rnacentral:rRNA from 1 species
CCAGACUCCUACGGGAGGCAGCAGUGGGGGAUAUUGCACAAUGGGGGAAACCCUGAUGCAGCGACGCCGCGUGGGUGAAGAAGUAUUUCGGUAUGUAAAGCCCUAUCAGCAGGGAAGAAAGAAGACGGUACCUGACUAAGAAGCCCCGGCUAACUACGUGCCAGCAGCCGCGGUAAUACGUAGGGGGCGAGCGUUAUCCGGAUUCACUGGGUGUAAAGGGAGCGUAGACGGCCGUGCAAGCCAGGAGUGAAAGCCCGGGGCCCAACCCCGGGACUGCUCUUGGAACUGUGCGGCUAGAGUGCGGGAGGGGCAGGCGGAAUUCCUGGUGUAGCGGUGAAAUGCGUAGAUAUCAGGAGGAACACCGGCGGCGAAGGCGGCUUACUGGACUGUAACUGACGUUGAGGCUCGAAAGCGUGGGGAGCAAACAGGAUUAGAUACCCGUGUA